AUGUACCACAACAUACGGUCAUUCGGCAAACAAGAUGGUUUGGAUCGUAGUCACUUGGAGCUCUACUUCUAUGAUGAUGACCCCAGUUUAGAACACAGGUAUCGCAGUUGCCGUAAAGAGCAGUGCCAGAAAGACAAAGAAGUAAUCACACAAUUGGUCAACAUACUUCAUGGCAACCCAUACUCUGAACACCUCCGGAGUAUGGGCCAUGUUGAUGAUGUUGAUGACUAUCACAUAACACUUAACCUUGACCAACGGAUGGAUCAAAGAAGAUAUAACACGCCGACCACUUCAGAGGUAGCUGCUGUGUGGGUGGAGGGUAGUGAACGUCGAAGACAAUUCGAAAAUAGCGUCAUCCUGCAAGGUAAGAAUAGAGAUAUAUAUGGCAUCAAGUCCUACCAUGGAUGCUAUGAUGCGUUGUCGUACCCUCUUUUCUUCCCUAGAGGUGAACUUGGGUGGCAUACUGAUAUCCCGAAGGAAGGUGUGCCCUAUGAAACUGUGAUGGCAGCUCGUGCAGCUCGUCUAGCUCAUGGCCACAACAAUAGGUCCUCCAAUCCCUCAAUCAGUGACAACGCCAAUGAUGAUGAAGGUUAG
rnacentral:rRNA from 1 species